AAAUCGCGGAUGUCAUCCCCGUUAGUGAAGUCUCUGGAGAAAGAGAGCACGAAGUGAUGUCUAAGUACGAAUAUCGGUUAGCUAAUACGCCAUUAAAGCAGUAAGAUCACGUUGGUGAGAAAUCAUUAUGGAACUUAUCGCCGUUUCUUAGCUUCAAUGACUAAGUUGCCUGUUCUGUUUUUGAAUAAGUGGUCAUUUACCCAUGACCCAUGUAUUUUUAUACCUUGUUGAUGUAUAUGUUGUCAUUUGUCAAUCUAAUAUUGUCCAACCUAAAGAUAUCCUUUACUAGUAUAUAGACAUUCCUUUAAGGGUGGCAAUGAACUGUGCGGGUAGAAAAAUCUAAAUCCCCACUCCUCUUUCCAUUUAGCAAUAAGGUUGGGGAUCCUGUCCAUGGUCUUAUUGUUAAAUGCUUCCCAGUUCCGAGGUGGCUCAAGGGUAAGGUUAGUUAGGGGCGGAUUCAGUGAGUUGGAUGGAGGUUUCCGGGAACCAAGUUGCUAUCGUGCUGCUCUUGUACUUAUAUUAGAAAUAUAGUAAAUAUAUAAGAAUAUAAGUUGGGAAUAUAUAAACAAAAUGUAUUGUUCGGGGAUUUAUAAAAGUUUUGCUAACUGCCUCUGGCACGCAUUUGCUUUAAAUCGUGGAUUUGAAGUGUUUGCUUUGGUUUCCGAAAUUUUGAGGGAUAAAAACAUCGGAAAAGGAUCAAAAAUACCCUGAACUAUUUGAAAUUGAGCAAAACUAUUCUUCGUUAGUUUUUUGGCUUAAAAAUAUUCCUCCGUUAAAUUUUUGGUUCAAAAUUACCCCUCUAAUAAUUUUUUGGCUCAAAAUUACCCCUCUCUAACGGUUGGACGUUGGAUAAAAAAUGUCACUUGGGCAAUCCACGUUAGCAUUUAAUUGGAAAAAAAUUUCUCAUUUAAUCCAUUAACCGACGUAAUAACCAUAAUCCCAAUUUUAAAACUCAAUCCGACCCAAAAUAUUCUUCAUUUCUUCUCAAAAACUCUCUUUUGCUUCUUUGUCGAACCGUUAACUGAAACAUUUUCAAAUUCGCUUCAAUAGAAACAUAUUGUGUAAAAUGAACGAAUACUUCAACGGUGACAAGUUGAAGGAGAAAUAAUUUCAAAGUGAUUAUUGAAACUCUUUUUAUUUUUAAAUAAGAAAAAAGAUUUUUGCUUUUCUUUUCCUUUUGAUUUCAGCUUUUAAAUUGUAAAUUUUGUUAAGAAAAUUAAUACUUUGUUUUGCUAGAUGAAUUUAUUUGAAAAUCAUCAUCUUUAAACAAAUAUGAAUCACAUAUUGUAAAAUUUAACCUUUAUGUGAAGUUUGAACACAGUUGUCUUCAUUCGAACUUUAAUUUUUCUACACGUGUUUCAUCUCUAAAAGGGAGCUUGGGUUGGGUCGGAUUUUAUGGUUAUUAAGUGGGUUGGUGGAUUAAAUGAGGAAUUUUUCAUUUGGAUGUUGAUGUGGACUGUUUAAGUGGCUUUUUGGUCCAUGUGGCAUGUUUGGUGUCCAACCGUUAGAGAGGGGUAAUUUUGAGCCAAAAAUUUAAUAGAGUAAUUUUGAGCCAAAAACUUAACUGAGGGAUAUUUUUAAGCCAAAAAACUAACGAAGAAUAUUUUUGCUCCAUUUCGAAUAGUGUAGGGGUAUUUUUGACCCUUUUCCGUAAAAAGAUUUUAGUAGUGAAUUUUAUUAUUUUGAUGCCGCUCAAAACAAUAUUGAAUAUUGCAAAAAGCUAAAAAGUACAAAAUUCAAAUUAAAAAAAAAAAAAGACUAUUUACUUCUUAUCAAAAAUAUCUUAAAACUUUGAAUUAAAAAAUCUCAAAUCUUCAUAUUAAUAAAGUUUUUAUAACAACAGGUAAUAUAUUGCAAAUAAAUGACUAACAUUUUAAUAAUUUGAAUUAAUCUUUACUUUUAUAAGUAACUAGUCUUAGUAUAUGUGUUCCACGCGUGUACUUUACCUUAAAUCAGAUCAAAUUUAUUUCUUUAGUCAUAAAUACAAUCAAGAUUUCAAAAGGUAGAAAAAUUCUAUAUAUAAACUUGUUUUUUCCUAUGUAUGAUAGUUUUGGAAUUAGUUUUAGAAUCUGUAAAAAUAAAAACAAAAAUUAAAGUAAGUGACUUGAAAAUCUUAUAACACAACGAUGAGUAUAAAAAGCUUCGACAAUAAAAAAAAAUCAAGUAGUUAACAAGUCAAAAAAAUUAUUAACUACACGAAAUUUUUUUUAAAAAGGGAAAGAAUGAUGUUGAUGAAUCCAAGAAUAUAAUUUGAAUCAAAAUUUAAAUAAGAAGAAAACUAAAAGUAGAAGAAGCCGAAUGUUUAUGUUUCUUGUAAAGUUUGAUUAAAUAUAUUACUUAUAAAAUUGUAGACAUUCUUUUUAUAUAAGGUAGAAUUUAAUUAAUUUAGAAUUGUUAAAUAUAUAAUUUCUUACCUAGAUGAAAUAAUAAGGACUUUAUUAAUUUAAAUCUAAAUAAUCUACAGUAUUGACUUAAUUUUUUUAAGAAAAUCCUAAACCAACUUUGAAUUUUAAAAAGAAAUGCAAACAGAAGUCAUUAAAAAUAGUUUUGAAGAAAAAAAGUCAUCUUCACAGGUAUUAUGCUAUAUUCGAACAACUUAUUAAAAAUCAAAUUCUACUUUGUUUGAGUCAAAUUUUAGUUUUAGUUGGUUUUGAUUGUGUGUACGAAUAGAAUCAAUAAUGAAGGAGUUUUAAAAUAUAUGGUAAAAAAAAUUUAAAUAUAUGAUAAGGAUUCUAAUUCCAGCAAAAUUCGCAUAAGAAAAAUGAAUUUAAUGAAUUUUACAAAUUUAUAAUUUUUUUAUAUAUUAAUAAUAAUUUAAGAAAAAGGUGAAAAGAUAAUUUUAUCUAUUGCAAAGAUAUUUUAAUGAAGAACAAAAAGUUCAAAUCACUUUUCUAAAGACCUUCACACUUUUAAUAUAUUACUAGUUAAAUAGCACAUGUCUUGCACGUGUAAUGUUUAUUCAUAUAAAAUUAAAUGAUUUUAUCUAUACGGAGAUUUUUUAUAAAGGGUAAAAGUUUAAAUCACUUUUCAAAUAUUCUUCACUUUAAUAUAAUAAUGUAAACAUAAAAGAUAUAUUUUAGUGUAAGCACACAUAUAUUUUUCUACCAGAAGUUCUAAGUGGUUGAUCAUCACUUUUGCCCUUUUUUCUUGUUGUCAGAGGCUAAGAGAGACGCACCAAUUUGAACCAUAUUUAUGGUAUGGUUUUUUUUAUUUAAAAUCUUUUCUUGUUUUUAAAGUCAAGGUACAAUUAUUUUUUUCUAUAUUUAAGAUCUUAAAUAUGAACUUCGUAUUUAAUAAGUCGUCAGUCUUUGUCUCAAGUUUGUCAAAACAAUAUUUAUCAUUUUUCAACACCUGAAAAGAAAGCUAAAAUAGAUAUUCAUGAUCAAUAAAUUUAAUGUAAUAAAAAAGGAUAUCCGAAAUUUAUAAAAAUAAUAAAGUUACAUUGAAAAUUCAAUAACGAAAGUUACUUACAUACAUAAAAGAUGUUUUGUUAUUCUUGAUCAAUAAAACCAAUGUAGAAAAAAAAAUUGAAACCUGAAAUUUAAAUCAAAAAUUAAGUUAUGCACAAACAUAAAAGGACGAUCUGUUAUUUAUGAUCGAUAAAAAUGAUGUAAUAGAAAAAAAAAUUAAAACCUAGAAACCACACAAUUACUCAAUCACGAAAGCAUGUUAUUUGUGAUCAAUAACACCAAUGUAAUAGAAUAAGAUAUUUGAAACCUAUAGAAACAACAAAAUUAUGUUGAAAAUUCAAUAAUGAAAGUCACUCACAAACGUAAAAAGUUGUUUUGAUAUUCUUGAUUGAUAAAAUCAAUGUAAUAGAAAAAAAAAAUUGAAACCUAAAAAUUAAAUUAAAAUUUACGUUAAAGACUUAAUAACUUAAGUUACUAUAUGUUAUUUAUGAUUAAUAUAACAAACGUAAUAGAUUAUAACAUAGAAGAUAGAGAAUCAUAUCCAGAUAUAAUAUUUAAUAGAAAAAUAGUAUAAUUUUUGGUAGAAAAUAGUAUAAUUUCAGGAGCUAUCGAAUAGAAUACUUGACUAUGAAAUUUUGAUAGCCAAUUAUCACUUUCCUAUGCAGCUUUUACUAUCCUUACUCAAGAAUUCAAGGAGCGUCAUAAUAUUUGUUGGCAACUCAUAUUUCAAUUGUUGCAGGCAAAAUGAUUGGCCUUAUGAACAUUAUAGCAAAAGGUUAAGGAAGAAGUGAUGUAAGUCUCUACUCCUUAAAGCACAAUAGUAAAGAUGCAGACAAAUAUAUCAACAACAUGCAUAUAUAAGAAAAUAUGAUAUUAAAAGAGAGAAAUUUGUUAUCACCUCGAAAAUAAUUUGUGUAGCGAUAUUUUCUUAAUUUGGCAUGAGCACAAUUUUAUUUGUUAUAUAGGUAAAAUUUGUUUCAAUGCUAUUGUCCAAUUGAAAAUACAAUAGAAUUAUAGACUCCUAAUUUACUAUAAGUUAAACUCUUACCACAUAUUUAUGGACUCCUAAUUUCUGGAAUUAAAUAAUAACUUUUAAAAAAAAAAUAGAAAAAAAUAGUGAAAAGAUAAUUUUGUCUAAAUCAAAAACUUUUAAUGAAGGCAAAAAGUUCAAACGUGAAUUAUAAUGCCCUUCACACUUUUAAGAUAAUAGAGAUAAAUUAUAAAUAUAGAUAAUAAUAAUAAUAAUAAUAAUUAUUAUUAUUAUUAUUAUUAUACAUUAAAAACAUGUAAUAGAUAAGUAAUGCCAAUUUAAUUUUAAACUACUCGAAAAUAUGAUAGCAACCCCACUUCACUAUUUAUUCCCUUCGUUUUAUUUUACUUAAUUUUUAUUAAUUUGGUAUAUCUUUUACAAAUUUUUUAAUUAGAGGUAUAUUUUAUUAAAUUAAUCUUAUUGAUGAUAAUUUUGUUAUGAAAUAUAAAAGUAAGAACAACGAGAAUAAAUAGAGAGAAGAGGAAAAAUUUCUUUAUUUCUCAUGAGGGAUGAGUGGUGAGGGAUGAGAGAUUAUUCGAUUGUAAAUACAAUGAACAAAACCCCUUUAUUUAUAGGGAAAAUUUACUCCUAGACUGAGUAAAAGGCAGAUGCUUCAAAUCUUAAUAGAUAUCAAAGUAGAUCUUAAUUGACAUUCACUAUAAUGUAAAUACAUUUAUAACACUUCCCUUUGACUGUCUAAUUAGUAGAUAAUGUGCCUCGUUAAAACCUUACUAGAAAAAAAUCAGUGGAAAAAAAAUCUAGUGAAUGAAAAAGAGUACACAUCUCCAACAAUACCCAUAUAAGCUGCCCCAUUAAAAACCUUAUAAGGAAAAUCCAGUGGGACAAAACCUCGUAAGAAAAAAAGAGUACAACGCGUAUUAACUCCCCCUAAUGAGAUCAUCCUUGAACCUUUGCAUCCCGAUCUUGUGCACCAUCUUCUUGAAAGUUGCAAUUGGAGGAGACUUGGUGAAUAAAUCAGCCACAUUGUCACUUGAACGAAUUUGUUGUACGUUAAUAUCACCAUUCUUUUGUAGCUCAUGUAUGUAGAAAAGUUUUGAUGAAGUGUGCUUUGUUCUAUCUUCUUUUAUGAAUCCUCCAUUAAGAUGUGCUAUGCAUGUUGCAUUAUCUCUGUAUAAAACUGUGGGUAUAUUGUCACAUUUCAAACCACAUUUUUCUCGAAUGAGAUGUAUCAUGGACUUCAACCAUAAACAUUCUCGGCUAACUUCAUGAGUAGCUAUUAUCUCAGAGUGGUUUGAUGAAGUGGAUACGAUAGACUGCUUUGUAUAUCUCCAAGAUAUGACAGUAUUCCCACAUGUGAACACAUAGCUUAUUUGAGAUCGAGUUUUAUACGGACCAUAUAAGUACCCAAUAUCAGCAUAACCAACAAGAUUGAAACUGCAAGCUUUAGAAUAAAAUCAUGUGUUUGAUCUUAUUUUGAUGUCUCCUAAUAGGAGCAGAACUAUAUCUUGCUAACAAAUUAAUUGAAAAGGCUAUAUCAGGCCUUGUAGUAUUUGCAAGAUACAUUAGUACACCAAUUGGACUAAGAUAUGAUACUUCAGGACCAAGCCAAUUUGGUAUGUUUUGCAUUUCAGCAAAUAAUCUAUUGCUUUAAAAACUCUCCAAGAGUUUCAAUGAUUUUCAAGCUAUAAGCUUAUACAAAUAAGGAUUAUAAAUAAAUUUUUCAGAAACUUUUAUAUGCUUCAAGAAUUUUGAAUCCUUAAAAGUUUUUCACCUAAGUUUUGUCAAAUGACAAUAUUCAAAAUUUCAUGAGUGACAUCUUCAAGUGUCUGGACUGCAAAUCAAAUAAGUUUUAUACUUACAAGAUGCAUCCUUUCAUGUUACUUGAUAAAUGUUUCUACGUCAACAUGCUUAAAUAAACGUAGAAUUUAGAUCCUCGUAAUCUUUUACAAUAUUGCGCCAAUAUCGUAUCAAAGAUAUCGUUAAUGAUACAUCAUUUUGUAUCGGUUCAUAAUGCGGCAUAACAUUUUGAGAUCUCAUCACUUCAUUAUUUUCAGGUACCUAAACCUUUCAUAAGGUUUCAUGAAGUGUUAUGUCGUAGGCUCUUCAAGAGCACAUUGCCUUCUUAUUAUGAUUAUUUGCUCCUUAUCUUUUCCAAGGAUUAUUUCAUUUGGAACCGAUUGGUCUAUCACACUUCACGCAUGCAUAAACUUUGUCCUUUAGAGACACAAAAUAGCAGCACUUGCAGCUUAAAUAUGAGAUGCGUUCGACAUUUGACUUGAAUUAUCUUUUGAAUAAUAAUUCUUAAUAUAUUUCAUAGCUGCUUAUAAUCUCCCCCCUUAUGUUAGGAAAACUAACAUACAUCCUCCAUCUUCUUUGAAGAAUCCUUCUUUGUGCAUCAUGGUACAUUCAUUAAUCGUAUACCGCACAUCAAAACUAUUAGAUGGAAUAAGUGAUUUCUGACCUUGAACCAAUUGAGAGGGAAGAAAUAAUUAUAAUUUAUUGGUCUAAUGCAUACAAAUGUUAUUGUAUGCAAUAUAUCAUAUUUCAUACCAAUACAUGAAGUUUUGUUCUCAUUAGCACUGAUUUAGCUAUUUCUUGAAGGCAUUCAAUGUCAAACCAUCAUCAUCAAAAUGAAUUGUCUUGAUUGCACAAUCUGAAAAUUAUGCUUUUAACUCAAUUUUAUUGAGCAAACAACUUUAUGAAUGUCAAACUGUAGGUUUACAAUGAAUGUACAUGUGAUCAUCCUAUUGAUGCAUCUUUUUAACAUAUCACAUGAUAGAUGAACGGGCCCAUAUUCACCUUUUAUAUUUUUCAGAUUUUAAGGGAUCUAAUCCCAAAAUUUGUUGGUCCAACCAACUUAUUAUGAGAACAAGCAACAUUAAAAGUUCAUGAAGAAUUUUCUAAUUCUUCAAUAUAUGUUCAAUACUUACUAUGCACAUCUUUGGGAUGUCACAAUCAUUCAUAUCAAUUUAUGAACUUUCAUUCUAGCAAACUCCAAGUUUACCAUGACAUGUACCUUUUACUUUAGUAAAUUUCAGAUUUACUAUUACAUGAAUAAAUUUCAGAUUUACUACUUCAGAAGUAGAUUUCAAAAUAAUUCUUCUCAGAUAUUCUUGCUCAUUCGGAGGUGAGUUGUGAUACCAUCACAAUCAAGUGCACGUUUGUAUUGAAACAAUCGAAAUCCUCAUUCCCCAGGAAUGAAAUAUAAUCAUGCCUUAAGUUUAUCAAAUUUUGAUAGCUUAGAACCUCUUUCAAAAUAUUGCUACUUCAGGAGCAAAUCGAGGCAUACAUAUGAUCUAGAGAAUUUUUUCCUAACAUAUCUUAUGAUCAUAAUACGCGUGCGAAAAUAUCAUCACUUUUGAUGAUCAUUAUCAUAUUGUCCCUCCACGCGUAUAUUCAUGCAUUCAAUCACUUGUCUUCUUUCAGACAUAUUAUGCACUGCUACCACAUACACUUCAAGAAUGAAGUAAGUUGUCAUAUUUCAGACUUAUCAUAUAUUGCUACCACAUUCAUUUUAUGGAAUGGAGCAUAUUCAAUGGGUCGAAUUUUAUGACUUUUCACCCAAUACCCAUGAUUUUGCCUUAACCAUCAUAAUAUCAUCAGUAUGGUAUAUUGAGAUUCAAACUCAAUAUCUUAACCAUAAAAAAGCGUCUUAGGCAUAUAUCGAUGAAACUUGAACCUAACAUCAUCAUUAUGGUGCAUCGAGAUUCUAACCCAAUGUCUUACCCUCGAACAAUGGCAUAAUAAGCCAAAGUAUAAUAAUUUCAGAGUGAUCUAAUAUAACAGAAUUUUGAUAUCCAGAAAAUCCUCUAUUGAUGCGUUUUCCAAUAUGCUAGAUAUAGUUAUUAUAAAAAUAAGAACCACUAUGUGAGCUUAGAACACAACAUUAGUCACAUGUGUACAUAUAGUAAUCCGUGGUUGAUAUCUUCUAAGCAUAAUAGAUUUGUAGAUUUUUCAUAUAAUACUUAACUUAAUGUGUUAAAAAUAUGACAACCAAAGAUUCUUCAUUCAUAUGAGACUUAAGAUUUUAAUAUGAGAAGAAAUAAAAUAAAGUUACUUUGUCAUAUUACCGAUCGUACCUUUUGUCAUAUUAUCGAUCAUACCUUCAGUAAAUUCAUCCUUUAUUUUUUUUUUCGCUUUCAAUCUUUUCUCAUGAGGGUUAAGAAAAAUCAACAUGUAUGUCGCAUAUACGAUUUUAGAGACUCGUGCUGAUAACGUUUUAUGAAAUAUAAAAGCAAGAACAACAAGAAUAAAUAGAGAGAAGAGGAGAGACUUCUUUAUUUCUCAUAAGGGAUGAGGGAUGAUGGAUGAGAUAUUAUUCAAUUGUAAAUACAAUGAACAAAAUCCCUCUAUUUAUAGGAAAAAUUUACUCCUAGUACAAAUGCUUCAAAUCCUAAUAGAUAUCAAAAUAGAUCUUGAUAGAGAUAUACUAUAAUGUAAAUAUAUUUAUAACAAAUUUAAAACUUUUAAUUUAAUUAUUAUAACUUUAUAUUAUUAUUUAAUACUAAGAAUAGAGAGGAAAAAAUAUAACAAUAUUUUUUAAUUUAAUAAAUUAAAUAAAUAAACUAAAACAAGUAUUUAAUAAUCCCUCUGUUUCAUUUUACUUAGCCCACUUGACACACUCCUUAAGAAAUUAUGUAAUACAGGCUUAUUUUAUUAAAAUAACUUUAUUAAUUAUGUAUUGAAAAUAUCAAUUUGAAUAAAUAUAUUUUGUUUAAUUAUUUAAUGUUGAGGAUAGUAUUGAAAGAACACAAUAAAAUUCUCUUGAUUUCACUAAAGAAACAACUAAAUUGAAACAAAAAUUUUUAGAAAGAGGGUCAACUAAAAUGAAAUAGAGGAAUUAUACAAUCAAGUAAAAUUAAAGGGUGGAGUAAUAGAUAAUCAUUAAUCAUGUCCAAUUAUGACAAAUUACUACUUAGUAGUUUUUCAACUUUUUUUUUUUUCCUUCUCUUUUUUUCUUUUCUUAAGCAUUUGGUGGUGGAAUUUAGCAGUCUGCACAUAAAAUGGAGCACAACAUACAAAUCCAAAUUCCAAGAGUCAAAUUAGGUACUCAAGGCCUUGAGGUAAAUUACAAAUAUUUUAACUCUGAUUCAUUUAAUUUUUGAGCUUUUUAUACUAAUAAUAUUUUGGUUAUCUAUACACUUGCAAUUACUGAUCACUGAAGCGAGGGAAAAAAAUACUAGUAUUUCUCCUUUCAUUUCGUUUUAGCUGAUGCUUUUUUUAAAAAUAUUUGUUUUAAUUUAGUUGUUUUGAAAUUACGAGGAUUUUAUUGUGUUCUUCCAAUAUUAUUCUCAAUAUUAAAUGAUUAAACAAAGUAUAUACUUACUCAAAUUCAUAUUUUUAAUACAUAAUUAAUAGUUUAUUUUAGUAAAAUAAGUUUCCAUUAAAUAAUUUCUUAAGUGGUGUACCAAAUCUGCCAACUAAAACAAAAUGGAGGCAAUACUCUGUAACAAUCAAUUAGAUCCUGUUUGGCCAUAUAUUUGAAGUUAGAAACUUGAAAUUUAAAAAUUAGAGUUUUUGAAGUUGUUCGAACAGCUAGUUUACUUGGAAAAAAUAAAAAUUGAAGUUACUUGAAAAUAUUUCAAAUCAGAUUUUUUGUGAUCUAAUUUCAUGGUUAAACAAAUACUUAAAGAUAGAAUUAUAAAAUCUACUCCCAAAAUUUAUGGGAGUCUUGAAAGUUGAGUGUAAUCUUUUUGUAUAGCAAUAGAUGUUUAGGAGUUAAACAGUUGCUUGAGAGGAGGAAGUAAAAAUUAUGCUACUAAGAUUUUAGCUAAAAUUGAUAUAUAAAGGGUAAAUUGGUUCACAAAGCAUCCCGAAUUAGCAGGGUUCAGGGAAUGGCCGCACUAAAACCUUCUGUCAAAAUGAUGAAUUCACUACAACAGCAUACCCUGUGUACUCCCACAAGUGGGGUCAGGGGAAAUAUGUGUGAUAACCUUACUGCUUCCUUUUAGGGUAGAGAGGUUGUUUUCGAUAGCCUUCGACUCAAUAAUUUCCUUGUGAGUUUAUUUCAGAAUUACACUUUAAUUAAGUUUGAUGCCUGUCAGUGUUCGUUGUUGCUCCUUCAUUUCUUUAACAAAGAUUAGUCCCUUGAGUACUCUAUCGCCUAUGCAGUAGCGGAGUCAGGAUUUCUAUCUAGGAGAUUUGAAAAAAUUCGGAAAUGCGUUACCUGGGAUGUUAACUUGUAUGUUAAGGGAUUCAAAAUUUUAUACAUACUCAAUAACAUUGAUUUUUAUCCUAUUUACAACUGAAUCUCCGUCUUUGCAUGUGGCUUCGCCUUUUGAAACCUAUGGUUAUAGUAAUUUGUGUGUGUCCAAUGAUCUCACUAAUAUUUUCUUUGAUUAUCACCUAUGGUUGUGAACUCUUUUGGAGACUAUUAGUGUUGUUCUUGAAAAGAAGGGCUUUAGGUUCACGAUGGUUCCGAGAUAUGGAACCUCUGAAGAAGUUUAAUGCUAAAAGAAAAGACAAAGGUUUACAUCUAUGAUAGGUGCUCUUACUCAUUAGUUGAUAUUUUGCCAGGUCUCGAAACUCGGCUUUGGUUGUGCAGGACUUUCUGGCUUAUUAAAUGCUCCUCUGUCACAUGAAGCGGGGUGUGCAAUCUUAAAGGAAGCAUUCUUCAAAGGCAUCACCUUCUUUGACACAGCAAACGUAUAUGGCCAUGAGGGUCACAACGAGAUCAUGGUGGGAAAGGUAUGUUUGAUUGAUGAGAAAGAACAGCACUGAGGGUGUAAUGCAUGUUGGAUUCAUUGUCUUUGGUUUGAAGAUUCAGAACAAUAUAAUCACUCCCCGUUGCUGAGACCUGCAACUUUUUAAAACUAUAAAAUAAGUAAUGAUUUUGUUUUGAUAAAUGGUCGUUUUGGUAUAACCAGGUGCUGAAGCAGCUUCCUCGUGAGCAAGUCCAACUGGCGACCAAAUUUGGGUGUAUAUUUUCCGAGGACUUCAAUGACUUCCAGUGUUACGUCAAAGGCACUCCACAAUAUGUGCGGCAAUGCUGUGAAGAAAGUCUCAAGAGGCUUGACGUGGACUACAUCGAUUUAUAUUAUCAACACCGGACAGACACAUCUGUACCAAUAGAGGAAACUGUAAGUAUCCAAUUUUUUCCAUGUUCUUGCCUUUGGUGAUAAAAUUUGUUUUAAAGAAACAUGAUUUUCUUGAAUCAAUUUCAUGAGACAAAAGAUGGAGGAACUCAAGAAGUUAGUGGAGGAGGGAAAGAUAAGGUACAUUGGCUUAUCUGAAGCCAAUGUGGACACAAUUAAGAGGGCGCAUGCUGUUCAUCCCAUCUCUUGUGUACAAAUGGAGUAUUCUCUUUGGACUCGUGCGAUAGAAGAGGAUGUAAUUCCGCUUUGUAGGUAUGCUCGAAUCUGAUGACUUUUCUCACUCGAAGAUUAAGAUCACUUUAAUGACCAACAUAGUUGCGUAUGAAACCACAAUUUUUUCCCUGGAUCUCAAGUAUCCUAUAGUUAUUGACCUGGUUACUAAUGAAGAUGUCUGUACAUAGCAGAAAGAACUUCAAGAAUUCUCUAAUAUUUUUUCUGCCUCCUUAAUGCAGAAAAUUGGGCAUUGGGAUUGUCGCAUACAGCCCCCUUGGCAGCGGGUUCUUUGGUGAGAAGGCAAUCACAGAAAGUUUGCCGGCGGAAAGUCUGAUGGUAAGUUAUUGCAGUAGUUGCUAGUAUAUGCUAUCUAUAGCACAAUUUCUCUCGGAUUUAUAUCCCCUAAAUGAAGUUAUCAUCAUUCUCUUUCCAUUGUUUGGUAAAACUAUUGUACAUCGUGCAUAAUACAUCUUCAUCAUUCUGGCUAAGUCCAAGAUGACUUAGUUCUCAUAAAACAUUCUUGGUCUCAUAAUUAUAACUUAUUCUUCACUUUGUUAUGUAUCUUCAUAUAGCACAGUACUUCCCUAGAACUCCUUCAUUCUACCACCUAUUGUAGUUUUGUGUGUUAAAUUAUUACGUCUAGUUAUCGGAAUUGUUUGUGUAGACACUACGUCUAGGUAUCUGAAUUGUUUGUGUAGACACUAAAAUCUCACCUAGUCUCACUUCAUUCUUUGUGCGUAGAAUUCAUGUUAUGUGUAACGGGUCUUGGUAAACAUGAAUUUAAAUAAUGGGAAUUCGGUUAAUUAUUUUUUUUUUUUAAUCGUUCUGUUUUGUUAGGGUUCUCAUCCAAGUUUCAGUGGAGAAAAUUUGGAGGAGAACAAAGUUCUUUACACAAGAUUUGAUAACUUAGCAGCAAAGCAUGGUUGUACACCUCCUCAACUAGCUUUAGCAUGGCUUCUGCAUCAGGGAGAGGACGUGGUUCCGAUACCUGGUAUGAUAUGAUAUAUGCCUUCUAACAUUCACAAAAGUCUAUGCAAACCAAAUUACAAUAUCUCAGCUAAUUGAAUUCCUCCCCUCGAGAUGUUAUUUUACUUGUUAGAUUCUUGGACAUCGGACCAAUUUUCUGUUGAUGGUGUUCGUUUGUUAACUGCAAUAUGUCAUUUAAGCUUGAACUUGUUCUAAAAAUGUUAAGGUAUUUUGAAUUGUUUGUUGACACAGACACAAGGAUUCUAAUCAUACUUCCAAUGUGUUGCAGGAACAACAAAGAUUAAGAACCUAGAUGCCAACAUUCAAUCCAUAGCAGUGAAGCUUACACCAGAAGACGUGAAGGAAAUCGCGGAUGUCAUCCCCGUUAGUGAAGUCUCUGGAGAAAGAGAGCACGAAGUGAUGUCUAAGUACGAAUAUCGGUUAGCUAAUACGCCAUUAAAGCAGUAACAUCACGUUGGUGAGAAAUCAUUAUGGACUUAUCGCUGUUUCUUAGUUUCAAUAACUAAACUGCCUAUUCUGUUUUUGAAUAAGUGGUCAUUUAUUAUUGUUGCCCAUGAC
rnacentral:lncRNA from 1 species